rnacentral:lncRNA from 1 species
GGAAAGGGAGGCUGCGGAGAACUUAGGAAAAUUGAGUGUCUAGUUUUGAGGUCUUUUAACAGAACCGAUAGUGACGGAUAGCGCUACGGUUUGUGAUAAAGAGCAUCAGUAAAAAGGAUUUAUCUCACAAAGUCUGCAUCAAUAUAUCACUGAAGGUUUUUAGUGGAGUGGCAAACUGAUAUAAAUAAGAUGAAUGGCAUCGUUUAAAGUGUUCAAGGACGAACGACUAUGUUAAUUUUUAAGUUUAUAGAUAUCCAUAACAAGUGAACGUUAUGUUCAAGUACAGGAUAUAAAGAUAAGGAAAAACUUAUUUUGGUAUUAUAUGUCAAAAUCACAUUCCCGUCCCUGGUGGUAUGUUUUUUUUUCCAAUUUUUACUCUAUAUGUUGAAUAUUAAUGCCUUUGAUCAAAUGUGGCGUUUUAUUCUAUAUCUUUAUUAUGCUUUUAGAACGCUAGGCAUAAACAAUGGGCAUUCUCAGCAGUGCGGCAAACGCACGUCUCAAGCACAAGUAUUUUAUACCAUCUGUCAACCACACCGUACUUCACGGCCACGGACAUGUCCCUUUCCA